rnacentral:rRNA from 1 species
UACGGAGGUGCGAGCGUUAAUCGGAUUACUGGCGUAAAGCGUGCGUAGGCGGCUGAUUAAGUCGGAUGUGAAAUCCCUGAGCUUAACUUAGGAAUUGCAUUCGAUACUGGUCAGCUAGAGUAUGGGAGAGGAUGGUAGAAUUCCAGGUGUAGCGGUGAAAUGCGUAGAGAUCUGGAGGAAUACCGAUGGCGAAGGCAGCCAUCUGGUCUAAUACUGACGCUGAGGUACGAAGCAUGGGGAGCAAACAGG